GACGAACGCUGGCGGCGUGCUUAACACAUGCAAGUCGAGCGGUAAGGCCCUUCGGGGUACACGAGCGGCGAACGGGUGAGUAACACGUGGGUGAUCUGCCCUGCACUUCGGGAUAAGCCUGGGAAACUGGGUCUAAUACCGGAUAUGAGCCUCCACUGCAUGGUGGGGGUUGGAAAGGUUUACAGGUGCAGGAUGGGCCCGCGGCCUAUCAGCUUGUUGGUGGGGAAAUGGCCUACCAAGGCGACGACGGGUAGCCGGCCUGAGAGGGCGACCGGCCACACUGGGACUGAGACACGGCCCAGACUCCUACGGGAGGCAGCAGUGGGGAAUAUUGCACAAUGGGCGAAAGCCUGAUGCAGCGACGCCGCGUGAGGGAUGACGGCCUUCGGGUUGUAAACCUCUUUCAGCAGGGACGAAGCGAGAGUGACGGUACCUGCAGAAGAAGCACCGGCCAACUACGUGCCAGCAGCCGCCGUAAUAC
rnacentral:rRNA from 1 species